rnacentral:tRNA from 1 species
ACUUUCAAAGGAUAAUAGUAAUCCAAUGGUCUUAGGACCAGUCAUCUUGGUGCAAAUCAAAGUGAAAGUA